CUCACACACUGCUUUAAAGUGUUGUGUUAACCUUUAAACUCCUAGGUCAGACUUUUAUUUUUUAGGCUGACCUCCUCCUUCUUAUGUUAAAAGGUAUAAAGUAAAGGGAUGUACAGGAAGCUCACUCAGGAAACAGGAAAGGUGUUUGCACACUCCUGCACAAUGCAGUUAUUAGCAGCUUGAAGAGGUUGUUGGGGAGGUUUAUGCUCAGAAGUAUUGUCACGGUAAUACAGAAAAUAGCUGGAGCUACAUUAUUAUCUUUUAAAAAGCUGAAAUAUCUUCAGUAUGCAAUUUCCUGUUCUUCUCUUCAUCUCAUCUGUUUCAGCAGUAGUUGGCAUGGUGAGUGUAUUAGUUACCAAACCUGUGAUAUCCUACUGCCACCAGGCUAUCACUCUGCACUGCAAUGUUUCUCUGUCUGAUGGAAAGGACCGUGAAUUCCAGGUUACUCAUCUGAGCUGGAUUAAAGAAUCAAAUAAAACAGUUUGCUCAGAAAGCAAGACAGCUAAGAAAGGUUCCAUCCACUGCCAAUACAUGCCAAACAAACAGCUGGUACUAACUAUUGCCCACCCAAAAUCAGAUGACAUCGGACGCUAUAUCUGCAAACUCCGAUCCUCCUAUGGACAUACAAGUGCUGAUACCAAUGUGACAUUGGAGUGUCCCCAGGAAAUUGUCCAGAUAAAUGAAGAUGGAAAAAACAGGGUGACCUGCAAGGUUGAGAGGUCAAACCAUGAUGGGCGUAUCCACUGGUUUCAUGGAACAGUCAAUCUAACGAGCCAAUCAACCCAGGACAUAAAGUCUGCUGCUGAUGGAUCAUAUACAGUGUGCAAGAGCCAGACAAGGAAACAGAGUCACAGGGAACACAGGCGGCAGGACACAAGGCUGGUGGAGUGGUGACGCAGGGACUUCGGUGGGCAACAGAUGGUGGUGCUCAGUCCCGUGAUGAUCCCUCGAAUCCCGGUGCGUGCAAUCCUCGUGAUGGCAACAUCAAACACAGGUUACUGAACUUAAAAAGGGAACAAACAAUUGAGCCCAGCUGGCGCUGCUGAUCAUCGCUGAUCAGUGACCACGCCCACAGACACACACACACACAACAGCACGCUAGACGAGAGAGAGAGAACGAAUCCAUGAACCGUGACAAUUAAAGGCUACAUGAGUAAUAUUAACAAAAAUACAAUGGUAGCAAUUACAGCAAUAACAUUACAAAUGUUCAAAUGAGAUGAAAAAAUUUGGACCGACUGUUCUCUGAGAUAGAUAUGUCCACUAGCUA
ensembl:lncRNA